rnacentral:rRNA from 1 species
UACGGAGGAUGCGAGCGUUAUCCGGAUUUAUUGGGUAUAAAGGGUGCGUAGGCGGGAUGCCAAGUCAGCGGUAAAAAUGCGGUGCUCAACGCCGUCGAGCCGUUGAAACUGGCGUUCUUGAGUGGGCGAGAAGUAUGCGGAAUGCGUGGUGUAGCGGUGAAAUGCAUAGAUAUCACGCAGAACUCCGAUUGCGAAGGCAGCAUACCGGCGCCCUACUGACGCUGAGGCACGAAAGCGUGGGUAUCGAACAGG